GAUGAACGCUGGCGGCGUGCCUAACACAUGCAAGUCGAACGGAGAUUCCGGACGGAAGUUUUCGGAUGGAAGACUGUAAUUCUUAGUGGCGGACGGGUGAGUAACGCGUGGGCAACCUGCCCUAUACAGGGGGAUAGCAGCUGGAAACGGCUGGUAAGACCGCAUAAGUCGGUUAAAUCGCAUGAUUUGAUCGGGAAAUGAGCAAUCAGGUAUAGGAUGGGCCCGCGUCCGAUUAGCCAGUUGGCAGGGUAAAAGCCUACCAAAGCGACGAUCGGUAGCCGGACUGAGAGGUCGGACGGCCACAUUGGGACUGAGACACGGCCCAAACUCCUACGGGAGGCAGCAGUGGGGGAUAUUGCACAAUGGAGGAAACUCUGAUGCAGCGACGCCGCGUGAGUGAAGAAGUAUUUCGGGAUGUAAAGCUCUAUCAGCAGGGAAGAUGAUGACGGUACCUGACGAAGAAGCCCCGGCUAACUACGUG
rnacentral:rRNA from 1 species